rnacentral:SRP_RNA from 1 species
GCCGGGCAUGGUGGUGGGUGCCUGUAGUCCCAGCUACUCGGGAGGCUGAGGCAGGAGAAUGGCGUGAACCCAGGAGGCGGAGCUUGCAGUGAGCCGAGAUUGUGCCACUGCACUCCAGCCUGGGCAACAGUGUGAGACUCUGUGUAAAAAAAAAAAAAAAAGAAAAGUUUCUUUUUUUUUUUUUGAGGUGGAAUCUUGCUCUGUCACCCAGGCUGGAGAGCAGUGGCGCAAUCUCGAUCUCAGCUCACUGCAACCUCCACCUCCCGGGUUCAAGCGAUUCUCCUGCCCCAG